GCAAAUGACUCUCACCCGUUUCCCAUCCCUUCCCCAUCCCACCUAUUAUGCAUCACAUUCUUUCUCUCUCUCCCCCUCUCUUGCGCCAUACUCAAUCUCUUUCUAAUCUUAUUAUCUCUCUCUAACCCCUGCAUUUCUCACUUGUAGGAAACCCUAACCCUCUCAAUUGCCUUCUCUCUCUAACAAAAAUGAGAAGAAGAGGAAGAGGAAGAGGAAGAGAGAAGAGCAACAAUCUGAUAACCAUUUUCUGUCUCUCUCCCGCAAAAACGAGAGGAAGAGGGAGAACAACAGCAACAACAACUAUCUCACUCUCUCUCUAACAAAAACGACAGGAAGAUGAAGAGAGCAAAAACAAGAGGAAAAAGAAGAGAAGAGAGCAGUAGUAGCAACAACAAUAUUGCUUCUCUCUCUAGCAAAAAUGAGAGGAAUAGGAAAAAAGGAGAGCAAUAGCCGCAACAAAUAUCUUGCUUUCUCCCUCAUUACUCAUAGGUAUGUGCUAAUUGCAUAUUUUCUAUCAAAAGGAUUUAGCUAACUAAAAAACUUAUUUUUUUUUGUGUUAAUUGGAGUUCUUACUGCGGUUCUAAUGCGUAUCUAAAUUUUUUUGUUUUCCUUGAUCUUUUGUUCAUUGUGUUUUUUCUUUGUUUUGGAGAAUUAAAAAUCAAAUGAACAAAAAUUUUGUUCAUUCUUGCCUUCGUAUUCUUUGGAGAUAAUUUAGUGGCUUAAGAAGUACAGAGAGAGGAACUCCAUCAUUUUUGUGGGUUUUGAAAAGAGUAGAGGGAUGAACAUGGAUUUAUUACCCUAGUAAAUGCCUCAUCAUUUUAGCAUAUCCUUUGCUUUCUGGUGUCGUUAGACCUUAAUUGGGUUUGUGCCUACUGCCUGUUGUGCUUACGAAUUAAACAUUUGUAGUCUUAUGGUGACCAAUCAAAUCCAUUAAACAAAGGUAAAAGCAAACAAACAAACAUCUGAUUCAUACAACCUGAGCAAAGAAAACUCUCCCUUUGUAGAGUUUUUUGAGUUUCUUUCUUGUUCUCUCUUUGUAAGGCUUUUGUGCUUCUAUCUCUUGCUUCCCUUUUAAAGCUUUUUGAAGUUUACAUAUAGUGCUUAUUUUUUAGAGAGCAAAUUCAUCAUUUUUGUGGGUUUUGAAUGGUGCUGAUUUUUUAGAGAGCAAAUUCAUCAUUUUUGUAGGUUUUGAAUGGUGCUGAUUUUUUUAGAAAGCAAGUUCAUCAUUUUUGUGGGUUUUGAAAGGAGCAGAGGAAUGAACGUAGAUCUAUUUUCUUACCAUUUAGCUUUUGAAAUUUUUUUAUUUUUUAAUGUAAAAAUAUUAAUUUUAAUAUACAUAACAUUUAAAAAAUAAAAAAAAUAAGUUUUAAAGGAUUCUCCUUUUGUAGAGUUUUUUGAGUUUUUUUCUUGCUCUUCUGUAUAAAGCUUUUGUGAGGCUCUCUCUUAUUCCCUUUUUAAAGCUUUUUGAAUGGUGCUGAUUUUUUGGAACUUCAGAGCCUUUUUUGGUUUCUCAUAAAGUGCAUCCAACAAUCGCAUUAGUUUUAUAGAAUGGUCCACAAUUAGAGACCAUUGAUCAUCCCUAUUCUCCACUUGUUGUUUGUGCAUAAUAUACACUCUCUCAAUGUUCCCAAGUCCACUUGUUGUUUGUGCAUUGUAUGUAGUCUCUCAAUGUUCCCAAAUCCACUUGGACCCCAUCGAAUAAUACGGCCAUGGUGUAUGGGCGAAAUCGAGUUUCUGGAGAUGUGUGUAUAACUUGUGGUACAUAAAAAUUUACAAAAAAUCACCAAAUAUUACAAGACAGGUUUCUAGGCAUUAACAAUCAUGGGCAAUAAUGGAAAUGAUAAGGAGUCUCCAAGUGCUACCAUAGUUGGAGGUGACCUUCCUCGGUAAAUUCUUCUCCUUGAUAUGCAUCCAUUAUUGUGUUGUGUGGUCAUAUGGGUUUCUAUUUUUGUAAUUCUUCUCCUUGUAUAGUUUUAAUUUUAGUAUAUGAAAUUCUAAGGAGAUGCAAUUUUUUUUUUUUUGCAGAUUAAUUGCUUUUGUGCAGAUUAAAUCCAUGGAGCUCGAGAAGAAGAGCUAUUAUGCUAGUAUCAAGAAUCAUCUCUGCUUUGUUUCUUUUUUGCUUUUUGUUUUUUUGGGUUUUGUUGCCAUUUUAAUCGUGGCAAGCACUUUUUAAAUUGAAAUCAAACUCAGCCUCAAUCUUGUGAAAUUUUAGAGAUCCGAGUUACCAAACUUUUUUUGAUGUUGCCUUUGCUUUAACGAUGUAUAUCAAUAUCGAUUAAUG
rnacentral:lncRNA from 1 species